rnacentral:rRNA from 1 species
CACGUGAGCAACCUGCCUUUCANAGGGGGAUAACAGUUGGAAACGACUGCUAAUACCGCGAUAACGCUGCGAUGGGGCAUCCCGAUGCAGCCAAAGGAGCAAUCCGCUGGAAGAUGGGCUCGCGGCCGAUUAGCUAGUUGGUGGGGCAACGGCCCACCAAGGCGACGAUCGGUAGCCGGACUGAGAGGUUGAUCGGCCACAUUGGGACUGAGACACGGCCCAGACUCCUACGGAAGGCAGCAG